rnacentral:rRNA from 1 species
UGGGGAAUAUUGGACAAUGGGCGAAAGCCUGAUCCAGCAAUGCCGCGUGAGUGAUGAAGGCCUUAGGGUUGUAAAGCUCUUUUACCCGGGAAGAUAAUGACUGUACCGGGAGAAUAAGCCCCGGCUAACUCCGUGCCAGCAGCCGCGGUAAUACGGAGGGGGCUAGCGUUGUUCGGAAUUACUGGGCGUAAAGCGCACGUAGGCGGUUUUGUAAGUUAGAGGUGAAAGCCUGGGGCUCAACCCCAGAAUUGCCUUUAAGACUGCAUCACUUGAACGUCGGAGAGGUGAGUGGAAUUCCGAGUGUAGAGGUGAAAUUCGUAGAUAUUCGGAAGAACACCAGUGGCGAAGGCGGCUCACUGGACGACUGUUGACGCUGAGGUGCGAAAGCGUGGGGAGCAAA